rnacentral:rRNA from 1 species
GACGAACGCUGGCGGCGUGCCUAAUACAUGCAAGUCGAGCGAAGCGGCGGAUGGGUGAGUAACGCGUGGGUAACCUGCCCUUAAGUCUGGGAUACCAUUUGGAAACAGAUGCUAAUACCGGAUACUAAAGGAUGGACCUGCGAUGCAUUAGCUAGUGGGUAAGGUAACGGCUUACCAAGGCUAUGAUGCAUAGCCGACCUGAGAGGUUGAUCGGCCAAACUGGGACGGAGACACGGCCCAGAUUCCUACGGGAGGCAGCAGUAGGGAAUCUUCGGCAAUGGACGAAAGUCUGACCGAGCAACGCCGCUUGAGUGAAGAAGGUUUUCGGAUCGUAAAACUCUGUUGUUAGAGAAGCGGUAUCUAACCAGAAAGCCACGGCUAACUACGUGCCAGCCGCCGCGGUAAUUC